rnacentral:rRNA from 1 species
UGGGGAAUAUUGCACAAUGGGGGAAACCCUGAUGCAGCGACGCCGCGUGAGCGAUGAAGUAUUUCGGUAUGUAAAGCUCUAUCAGCAGGGAAGAAAGUGACGGUACCUGACUAAGAAGCCCCGGCUAACUACGUGCCAGCAGCCGCGGUAAUACGUAGGGGGCAAGCGUUAUCCGGAUUUACUGGGUGUAAAGGGAGCGUAGACGGAAGUGCAAGUCUGAAGUGAAAGCCCGGGGCUCAACCCCGGGACUGCUUUGGAAACUGUAUUUCUAGAGUGCUGGAGAGGUAAGUGGAAUUCCUAGUGUAGCGGUGAAAUGCGUAGAUAUUAGGAGGAACACCAGUGGCGAAGGCGGCUUACUGGACAGUGACUGACGUUGAGGCUCGAAAGCGUGGGGAGCAAACAGGAUUAGAUACCC